UACGGGGGGGGCAAGCGUUGUUCGGAAUUACUGGGCGUAAAGGGUUCGUAGGUGGCCAACUAAGUCAGACGUGAAAUCCCUCAGCUUAACUGGGGAACUGCGUCUGAGACUGGAUGGCUUGAGUGCAGGAGAGGAACGCGGAAUUCCAGGUGUAGCGGUGAAAUGCGUAGAUAUCUGGAGGAACACCGGUGGCGAAGGCGGCGUUCUGGACUGCUACUGACACUGAGGAACGAAAGCCAGGGGAGCAAAUGGG
rnacentral:rRNA from 1 species